UGCAGGCUGAACGGAGCUCCAGAGAGGGAUGGCUGCCUCAGCCAACACACUGACUCAUGGUGCUGUUCAUUCCAUUCAAAUGAGGUUGCUGGCAUCUUUCUGAUGAAACCCAAUCUAAGAACAGAUUUCCAGUGAGGUUUCCCCCAAAAAGCAGGUUUGAGUGGCAGAGGGCACAGAGUGGGUGACACCGAGGGCUGCCUCCGAAGCUGCCGGGGGAAAGCACUGAAGUCGUGCUUUACCCCAAGGUUAAGGCAGCAACGGCUUCAUCCUUCCCCCACCUCACCCAGGAGGUCCCCUCCUCGCUUCCAGGCGCUCUCACAAUGCUCUGGCAUGCUCACAAGACUGUGUGGCUCCUCCCUGAAAGACACUCUGGCUCCUUCUGAGCCCUGGGAACAGGGCCGGCCCCGGGCGGAUUUGGAAGGAGACAGAAGAGAUGUCAUGAAUUCCCUGAAGCAAAGCGUCAUAGAGUUAUUUUAUACAUCAGAGCUGGAAGGGUCCUUUGAGAUCAUCUGGCCUUGGGCACCUCACGCUAGACCUCAGUUUUCUCAGCUGUAAAAUGACCAUAUAAGGGGCCUGUACAAAGAAAGUGCUUGAGAACUACUUGCUGAAUUCAACUGCAGUGAAUCCAUUAUAUUCAAGGGGAAAAAAAAGGUGAGAAAGUGUUAAACUCAUCCAGAAUCUACAACUUUUCCACAGAUACCAAAAGCCAAAGAGAGCACACUUGUGUGAAGUGGAAGGAGGAACGUAAGAUGGGGAAAAAGCCAAGGACCAGCUCCUGAACACUGGAAAUGGACCUUCCAGAAGCAUCCACAUGAGCAUUGCCAUUUCCAGAACCAGCUUCACUCAAUGCAAUAACUCGUCAUGAUCACCAACCAGGACAUGGAAGGGCCACUAGCUACACUGGGUGAGGGAGUACAUAUGGCCAGGGAAUCAUGGGUCCUCAAAGCAGUCCUGAAGCUAGGAAUCUCAGAGUUACGUCUGCUUCUUUCCCCUUCUUUGUCCCCCUAUUACAGCUGCCUUUCUUGCUUCAAAAAACCUUGUAGAUUCAAUUUUCCUCUCCACAAGCCCUCAACAUGUCACACCAGGAUUACCUCAACAGCCUCACUAUUGGUCUCUGCUGGUUGUGUCUUCUUUCAAUCCACUACAUAUGCACAGGCCAGCCAGAUUAGUCUUUGGAAAAACUUGCUUUCAUUACAAGACCUCUUGCUCAGAUUCUGGCUCUGGCUCCCUAUUGCCUACCAUGUAAAAGGCAAACCCUCUACCUGAAAUUGAAGGCUUUUUAUAACUUUGCUCUGUCCUACUUACUCCAACCUUCUCUCUGAGAACUCCCCCAACAUCUCUUCUGCUCUGGCCAGGUCAGUUUAUACACAACCUGCUCCAGCCUGAACCAAAUUAAAAUGAAAUGGGGAAAUGUUUAACAAAAUAAAAAU